GAUGAACGCUGGCGGUGUGCCUAAUACAUGCAAGUCGAACGAGACCUUCGGGUCUAGUGGCGGACGGGUGAGUAACACGUUGGUACCUGCCCCUAAGUGGGGAAUAACUGCCCGAAAGGGUGGCUAAUACCGCAUAAUCCCGCAAGGGUAAAGUCGCAAGACGCUUAGGGAGGGGCCUGCGUUCCAUUAGCUAGUUGGUAGGGUAAUGGCCUACCAAGGCGACGAUGGAUAGCUGGAUCGAGAGGUUGAC
rnacentral:rRNA from 1 species